CAACUUGAGAGUUUGAUCCUGGCUCAGAGCGAACGCUGGCGGCAGGCUUAACACAUGCAAGUCGAACGGGCGUAGCAAUACGUCAGU
rnacentral:rRNA from 1 species